rnacentral:rRNA from 1 species
GUAGGUGGCAAGCGUUGUCCGGAAUUAUUGGGCGUAAAGCGCGCGCAGGCGGUCUUUAAGUCUGAUGUGAAAGCCCACGGCUCAACCGUGGAGGGGUCAUUGGGAAACUGGAGAACUUGAGUACAGAAGAGGAAAGCGGGAAUUCCACGUGUAGCGGGUGAAAUGCGUAGAGAUGUGGAGGAACACCAGUGGCGAAGGCGGCUUUCUGGUCUGUAACUGACGCUGAGGCGCGAAAGCGUGGGGAGCAAACAGGAUUAGAUACCCUGGUAGUCCACGCCGUAAACGAUGAGUGCUAAGUGGUUAGGGGGGUUUCCGCCCCUUAGUGCUGCAGCUAACGCAUUAAGCACUCCGCCUGGGGAGUACGGCCGCAAAGGCUGA